UCGAGUCGACUCCCGCAAUACGCGAGUCGACUCCGAGACUGAGCGACCAUCAACAGACAGAAGACCAUGUUACUGCCUCUGAGAUUCGAGUCGACUCACAGACAGCUCGAGUCGACUCCAAGACAAGCUUCACGUCAAAAGGCAGAAGACCAACUUUCGGAAACUGAGAGCCGAGUCGACUCCAAGGAAGUUCGAGUCGACUCCAAGACUGGAUGAGCCAAAAGACAGAGAAUCGGGAGUUCGGGCUCUGAGAUUCGAGUCGACUCCAAGGACAGUCGAGUCGACUCGAGUGGACAAAAUUCAAAAUUGGAUCCACGGACUUCAGUGGAUGAGCCGACUCCAAAAUUUCCAGGUCAGCUCCAGAAGUUGGCGAGUCGACUCCAGGUCAAGACGAGUCGACUCCAAGUCAUGAAGGCAACUUUAAUUCAAAUCUGGAACAGUUGCCGAGUCGACUCCGGAAAAGCUCGAGUCGACUCCCGCUACAGCCGAGUCGACUCCUGAUCGCGCGAGUCGACUCCAACCCACCAACGGUCAUAUUGUCAGGCUGCGCAGAGUGUGCAGAACGGGCAGAAAAAGCAGUGUAACGGCUAGUUUCCGUGGGGGUUGGCUUAAAUAGCCACAGAAGACUGUAGCAAGGCAGAGAACAACCAUUCCACUCCAACUAAUCAAGCAUCCAAGCUCUGCAACGUGCUCUUCAACGAAAAAGAGGAAGAUCAGCAUUUACUGCAACCAACUACAUCUUCCCAGCAAUUAAAGCCUCCUCCUCCUGCAUUCAAGUCGACUACUCAUUCGAGAGGAGACCGGAGUUCAAGAAGCCAUUCCUCUACUUCAGCUUAAAAGCGUUUGAGG
rnacentral:lncRNA from 1 species